CACCUGUGCUUAUUGUACAUGCUUUAACUAUCAUAAGUAUUUCAAUAACGAUGUUUCGGUUCAUAAAUGUGCCAGAUUCUACGAUUCCGAAUCCAUCGAGUGUUUAUAUAUAAGGGCACACGCUCCAUUUUAAAGGGCCAUCUAGAAAGGCUAGCAGAGGUGUAUUUCCUGGGAAACCCUCGCGACAUUCAAAAUAAUUCAUGCCUAGCAAAUUUUGAACCUUAGACUACAACUGGACUGUGAUAAAGAACUGCUUUCUCGGUUUAAUUCGCUUGAAAUCAUGUAUAUAAGGCUGCCUCUAACACAACCUUACCGCCAGACACAUCGGUCACCUACUCAAAAGCUUCUGAUUAAAAAUGAAGCAGGGACUCCGCAGUAAUCAAUCUGUCAAGGAUAUUGUCUACUAAUUGGACUUAGGUAUCAGGGAUCUUUUCAUCACCAAAUUCGGAGAAAAAAGUUGCCUUUGGACCGAAUGCUUUCUCAUGGGGCAUGCUACCUGUGGAUUCGCAGACGGAUUGAAUAAAAGAAAAUAUGACAUGCGGUAAACGCCAGGAACGAUACCACGAAAGCGUGAUAGCUUUGCUGAAAAGUUGCCAGAGAUUGUAGGUGGUAAGCAGAAGAUUUCUAUUGUGUAAUUUAAACAAGUUUCGCAAACCUUUGAUAAUUUCGCUCAUAAAUUCUGAUCAGUGAUCCGUCUGAAUUAAUUUAGGGCAUUGAAGACGGCACAAAAAGUGCUAAUCAAAAGUAAGUGACAAUGUGAGAGCAUCUAUAUUUGCCAAUGGAAGUGCCCUUAAGUAUUUAGAUAAACAAUCCUGCAAGGAUUAGCAUAUACUUAUUUUUGGAAUCAGAUUAAUGUAGAGGACCUACAAAGCAUAUUUGGAGUUUUUCAAACACUAGUAGGUGUGUCUUUAUUACACAUGGGUAAUUUCGUUUUUACUCUCAACAGUUUUUCUCCUGGAAAGAGUCCCUAGUUUUAAUCUAUUUUUAAACGUCUUUUAAUUCUUUCUAAUUAAACUGUUUCCUUACACGCUCAUAAUUUUUCAAAUCUACUUUAUCACCACCUGUUACAGAAUAAUGUUUAAUGACACCAUCUCGUGAAAUUGUUACUUUUCUAGUAAAAAUAAUAACUUGAUCAUUUUCAUUAAAGACUAAGUUUUUAAAAUCAGUUGCAUUACUCACCAAGAUAAUCUAUUAAUUUUAAAAAAAUUUUAAGUUUGGAUAGGAAAAAUAACUUGAGGUUCUUUUUGGUGAUUAGGCUUCAAUUACAAUUUUUCAACGCUUUAAACAAAGAAUAAAACAAAACUAAGAAAAGAAAAUAGUGUAGACAGAGGCGUUAAUUAAUUUAGCAAUCUGGUGUAUACUCUGCAUUCUUGUGCGAGUAGUAGAACUAUAAUACUUAAGGAUAGGAUGAUAGGGCAAAUAAACAGUUUGAGGAGAAUCAACUCCCAAAAACUCCUGAAUGCGUUCAAUUUGACCUAACUGUUCAUAAUUGGUUAAAAAAUCCGCGUAUUGAUUAAACAAAGCUGAAUCCUUGAGAAAACGAGCAUGUACUCUCCUUAAAACUAACCUAUCGCUAAUCAAGGAAUUGCCAGUAUAUAUCGGAGAGCCCUUCUUAAAAGGAAAUCGUACCAUGUACCUUUCUGGUGCUAAACGUUGACAAGUAGAAACAAAGUGAUGUUUACAACUCAUCUCAUCAGCAGUCAACCUACUACAACCUCUAGUUCCCAGAACCUAAGCAAGUUAUCGUGUAGGUCUUCCUUGGUUAUGCUUUGAUGAGCUGUUACUGGCUUAGACCAGCUUAUGCUCGAUUUAAGAACUGGCUCUAAGAGGAUCCAUCCAACGAUGGUAUCCUGUGCUGUAAGAGAGCCUAACGUUCUUUCUUUAAGCAUAAAUAUCGGUUCGAUCCUACCCAUCGUUGGUUAGAUUAAUACUUGAACUAACUUUUUUGCGGCAACUAUCAUUUCACCUCCCACGCCGUAAACUAAAGCAUUAACUCGUAAAUACUUCGUAUUUGGAAUUUUUACCAAUCUUUCGGAUACAAAACAAAAUUUCAAGAUCUGAUCAAGAAAAACUCUUAACGGUAUGAACCCGGCCAUGAUGAGCUCGUACGUUUGCUACGGCGGUCGCGAGCAAAGUAGAGCGUAAAAAGUCGCGUUUAUUAUUCAAAAAAUAAACAGUAACGUCAUUGAGAUUCACAUUAUGUGCUCUAUGUAUUGAUAGUGAAGGGUUACCCGAUAUUUCUGUUAUUACUACGCCCAAAUUAGUAGUUCCGGUUACUGGAGAGCUGAUUCCGAGGGUGUUAGCAGGAGGAAAUGCCGGCGGCGCUGCAAUAGAACUGGAAUUAUAUUUAAAUUUAGAGGCGCAUGAAUAGUCUCCAAAAUUCACUAGACAUAAGUUGCUGCUAGGUAUAGGGGGCGGAACAUCAUCGUAGUUCGAAUACUAUAGGUCCGGUUGCUUAGCCAGUUUUUCUACAACCGACUAUCUCAGGAACAAUCACGAGAUAAAAUCCCUCGAUGGCCUGGGGAGUACGCCCGCAUAAUCCCAUAUGUAGAUGGGUGGAGGAGAGAGAUCCCUCUCAAAUGACGUCCGAUACCCAGGUCCCUGUUCUUUUGGGGCAACAUUGAGAAAAACUGCCAGAGAACAGUGGCCUUCUGACAUGGUGAGCGUGGUUUUGCUCAACGUUCCCAUUUUCGCCGAGAGUAAAUAGUAGUAUUGUCUAAUUAACUGUCCCUGUACGAGAAGGUCGCCCAUUUCGGAGAAUACUCUAUUCUCGAGAGCCCUUUUUUCUGGCUCUUAAUAUCGUAUAGUAGUUUGGGCUUAGCCUCCAGGAGAUUCAUUUUAUUUCCCUUUUUUCACUUAUUUUACGUUCGACAAAGGAAAAUGCGUACUGCCCUUUAUUUUCCGACUCAUUGAUCAUGUAGAUUAUACGUAGUUCAUGCCCAAUUUAAGUAUGGGUGUUCCCUAACUCCAUCUAGAUUUGUUAAUACCUGAUUCAUAUUGUAUUAUAUUUUAAAAGAAAGGGAAAUUCAUUUUCCAAAUAAAAAUGCAUUUAUUUAUUAAUUUAUUAAGCAUAAUUUAAUAAUUUCGUUAAGUAAUUAAGUGAUCCUUUUAAAGGAAUUAUAGGCGCCAAAUUUAAGUUAGACCGAACAUUUUAAGUUGUUUAGAUUAUCAUUCCGAUUGAGAUUUAGGAAUUCGUAAACAAUUUAUAUAUGACGUAAUAAUUUUCAGAUUUUAUGAUCUUCCGAACAUACACACAGAUGUUUAUACUUAAUAUACAGAGAAUCAUUAUUCUUUAAUUAUAGAAUAUUAAUUUUAAUCAAAGCUUCACAAUUUUUAGCGCGAAAUUUGAAUUUAAUUUAAUUCUCAGGAUUAAUGAAGAGGUAGGUGCUGUAACGGGUUUUAGCGUUACACGUUUUAUAUUUUUAUUUUAAUUAUUUCUCCCAGUUAUUCGUUAAAAAGUUUAAUUUUACCCUUUUUAAAAACAAUUUUCAAACCAAUUAAUUAUCAUAUGACACGAAUCAAUUCGGCAUAUAAAUUUAUUCUAUUUACAUGGAUAUUAAAUGAGAUUAAUACGAGAGAGCAAAAAGAAGACAAAUUUAAAGUGAAAAAGUAGAAAUUAGCCUUUAUUUAUGAGUCAGAAUUUAUCGAUUAUGACUAUUGCCAAUAACAACUAUGAAAAUCUUUCACGCAAGAUAAUCAAAUAUGAUUAAUGCUAAUUCCGAGAAUUAGCAGAAAAAAAACGAACCAAUUAGAAUCGGCACGAAUUGACGUAUAAAUUUGUUACUCACACGCUUUUCAGUUUUUUACUUAUCAGUGUUGGAAUGACUGUUCCGAUGAAUUAAGAGUUUAGAUCAGAUCGUCCAAUUCACAUAUUCAGCCAGAUGCUGGUGAGUAAUACAAGAAGAGAUAGUCGCCAAUUCUUUCUUCUUAAUAGAUUUUGUGCCCAUAAGAGGGUAGCUGAAUCCUGCGUGGUAUCGGUGUCAAAAUAUAAACGGAGUAUGAUCGUUGCGAAUAUGCAAAUACCCGGAAAUUCGCUUUUGAUUAUAAGUACGCAAAAUGCUCCGCUUAUUUCAAAUAUAGAUCAUCGAGCCAAGUUUCGACGUUUUGACAAGAGCCUCGACUUUAAUUUGCGCACCCGUUGACGAGAAAAUUAUAUUUUCUAAUUCAAUAAGAGCAAAAGUUUGAACUCUGUGGCCGGUUCCCAGUGCUAACAAUAUGAUUAACUUUUCAGAUAAUUUUUGAAGAUUAAGAGAGUCUAGUGGGAACCAAGUAGCGAUCGUAGCUAGCACUGGCGUAAUAUCCCACGUUUUUGAAUACUUGGGCCGUGAAGGUUUUAAUCUAUAAACGCCUUUAAAGAAACGCUGCAUUUCCUUAUCCGAUAUGCUCUCUUCCGAAACCAAAGAAAUAGCUGAUCUAGCAGUAUUUAGCGUUGCAUAAGACGCCCCAUUGUCGAAUUUCAGAGUAAGAAAAUGCAGCACUGUUUCCAUAUUUUGAUUACACGGAUUUAGAUUCUUAGCUUGACAGAAAUUCCACUAAUUUCUUAGAGAGCUGUCAUACUGUUUUAUGGUGAAGUCCGAUAAUGACGCUAUCAUGAUUUCUAACGUUUCUUCCGAAAGGUUCUUCCUGCUUUCCCUGAUAAGAGCCCUGCAGCCAGGGAAAGUGAGAACGCCAAUGGGCGUUCUCGAGUCCUGCAAGGAGACAGAAGAAGAUAUGAUUUAGGAUUAAAAAUUAUAGGCUCAGAUACAAGCAUCGACUGAAACAGUGGAAACCACGGGUGUGAGGAACAAAAGGGAACGACUAAGAUUCCAUAAGCUUCAUCUGUUGAUAUCUUUUUUAAAACUGUUAAAACCAUAGAAAAGGGCGGAAAAGCGUAAAAGAAUCUAUUAGUCCACGAAAUAGUAAAUGCAUCGACUGCCAGAGCCUUGGGGUCGUUUUCCCAAGAGCAAUAUAAUCUACAUUUUGAAUUU